GGGGGGGGGAGGCAGCGGUAGUUUGGAUGCAUGUCCACAAUUGUUAUAGUGUUGUGGCGGAGAUGGAUGGCAAGUUCUUAUUUUAUAAACUUUUUCAACGACUACAAAUUGAACUCAUGAAAGUUGGUCUUUGAAAAAAACUAACUCGUUCAAUUAUUUUCAAAUAUACUCAAAUUUCACUCUUAUCUAAUAUUUAAAUUCCGAUCGCGACAUGUUUAACCAAAUGAAUUUGAUUUGAUCUAAAAUAUUUUAUAGUUAAUCUUUAAUCGUACUCGAAUUGCAUUUAUUUAAUUUAAUUUUAAUUUGAUUUGUGACAAUUCAUUUACAUACAAACAAGAUUGGUUACUGACACUAGUACAGAACAUGCAAAAGUGUGAUUCCGUCAUUAAUAGAUUUAAGAAUGUCGAACAUCUCCCGAAAAUGUUAAAGUUGUGUACAUGUAUAGAUUUUAUCGUGAUUUAGUAAUAGUUAUGUCUAGUAUGUAUAGUAUAUAAAAUGUAAUACAUAUAGAGGAUAUUUAUUACACGGCGGCGCGAAGAUAUGACUUUUUAUCUUCGAGUGGUAACCAGAAUAAUUUGUGUAACGUGCCGAUGUUUUUAACACGAGAAGAUAAAAGUCGUAUAUUCAAGCCACCGUGUAAUGUUCUGUUUAUUAUAUAGUCCCAAGCAAAAAAUUGUGAAAUUUCACGCUCAGAAGCAAAUUGGAAAAAGUCACGUGAUCGAUAUGUUCACUAGUGAAGAUAUGGAAAAUAUCUCACUGUGUAUUUUUCAGUAUCUCACUCUCUACUAUAUAAUAAAUACGUUUAUUUUAAUUUUCAGUGUACUUAGUACAAACACAAAAGGAAAAGCACCUAAUAUACAACUAUUUUGUAAAUAUUUACAAAUAAAAUUGAAUAAAUAUCAUGUAUGUUUCGCGUC